rnacentral:rRNA from 1 species
CCUACGGGAGGCUGCAGUGGGGAAUAUUGCACAAUGGGCGCAAGCCUGAUGCAGCCAUGCCGCGUGUGUGAAGAAGGCCUUCGGGUUGUAAAGCACUUUCAGCGGGGAGGAAGGCGGUGAGGUUAAUAACCUCAUCGAUUGACGUUACCCGCAGAAGAAGCACCGGCUAACUCCGUGCCAGCAGCCGCGGUAAUACGGAGGGUGCAAGCGUUAAUCGGAAUUACUGGGCGUAAAGCGCACGCAGGCGGUCUGUCAAGUCGGAUGUGAAAUCCCCGGGCUCAACCUGGGAACUGCAUUCGAAACUGGCAGGCUAGAGUCUUGUAGAGGGGGGUAGAAUUCCAGGUGUAGCGGUGAAAUGCGUAGAGAUCUGGAGGAAUACCGGUGGCGAAGGCGGCCCCCUGGACAAAGACUAACGCUCAGGUGCGAAAGCGUGGGGAGCAAACAGGAUUAGAUACCCCGGUAGUC